rnacentral:rRNA from 1 species
AGAUUGAACGCUAGCGGGAUGCUUUACACAUGCAAGUCGAACGGCAGCGCGGACUUCGGUCUGGCGGCGAGUGGCGAACGGGUGAGUAAUAUAUCGGAACGUGCCCAGUAGCGGGGGAUAACUACGCGAAAGCGUGGCUAAUGCCGCAUACGCCCUACGGGGGAAAGGGGGGAUUCUUCGGAACCUCUCACUAUUGGAGCGGCCGAUAUCAGAUUAGCUAGUUGGUGAGGUAAAGGCUCACCAAGGCGACGAUCUGUAGCUGGUUUGAGAGGACGACCAGCCACACUGGGACUGAGACACGGCCCAGACUCCUACGGGAGCAGCAGUGGGGAAUUUGGACAAGUGGGGGAAACCUG